rnacentral:rRNA from 1 species
UCGACCUGAGGUCAGGCAAGAACACCCGCUGAACUUAAGCAUAUCAAUAAGCGGAGGAAAAGAAACUAACUAGGAUUCCCUUAGUAGCGGCGAGCGAACCGGGAUGAGCCCAACUUGUAAAUCAUUAGCCUUCGGCUGAUUGAAUUGUAGUCUCAAGAUGCGAUCUCUGCAGCUAGCAGUGCCCAAUUUUCCUUGGAAAAGGGAGUCAGAGAGGGUGAGAACCCCGUCGGCACUUGCCUCAGCUGCUCCACGAGGCGUUUUCUCAGAGUCGGGUUGCUUGGGAAUGCAGCCCUAAGUAGGUGGUAAAUCCCAUCUAAGGCUAAAUACUGACGGGAGACCGAUAGCGAACAAGUACCGUGAGGGAAAGAUGAAAAGAACUUUGAAAAGAGAGUCAAAAGUGCUUGAAAUUGUUGAGGGGGAAGGAAUUGGAAGCCAUUUGUGCGCCCGGGCUUAAGUGGGCAAUUCUGCCCAUUGUACGCCUUGGGUGCCGGUCAGCAUCGGCUACUGGACCGGGAUAAUAACUUUUCUUUCGGAGAGUGCAU